rnacentral:rRNA from 1 species
UGAACGCUGGCGGCGUGCUUAACACAUGCAAGUCGAACGAGAAGUGAAGACGGAAACCUUCGGGCGAAAGGCUUUAUUUCGAGUGGCGGACGGGUGAGUAACGCGUGGGUAACCUGCCUCAUACAGGGGGAUAACAGUUGGAAACGACUGUUAAUACCGCAUAAGACCACAGCACCGCAUGGUGCGGGGGUAAAAACUCCGGUGGUAUGAGAUGGACCCGCGUUCGAUUAGCCAGUUGGCGGGGUAACGGCCCACCAAAGCGACGAUCGAUAGCCGAUCUGAGAGGAUGACCGGCCACAUUGGGACUGAGACACGGCCCAAACUCCUACGGGAGGCAGCAGUGGGGAAUAUUGCACAAUGGGGGAAACCCUGAUGCAGCGACGCCGCGUGAGUGAAGAAGUAUUUCGGUAUGUAAAGCUCUAUCAGCAGGGAAGAAAAUGACGGUACCUGAGUAAGAAGCCCCGGCUAACUACGUG